ACAUUUUCCUCAUAUUACAGCCAUCCAGCGCAAUGCGUCGUUGCCCAGAAAGCGUCCAAAGAAAUUAAUGAGUGUUGCCCCCAACGGAAGAUAUAUUAACUGAGCAUUUUAGCAAACAAUCUUUGCAGCCGAGGUGCGAAUUCGGAGCAAACAAAAUGCAAUCAUUAAAACGCUUGGCACGUUUCUCCCAUUAUUUUUGUGCACUCAGCAACGGUACGAGUCAACGUCUGCAACACGCCACAUUUCCCUAUAUUGUACAGCAGCAACACGGUUGAUGCAACGCGCCAAUGCAUGUCAGCGCAGCAAACCAAGCACGGAAAAGCCGCAUACAGCCGCUCCAUUACCACGGAGCCCUGUAGACAGAUGAAAAGUACAGUUGGCUGAAGUUCUACCACCAUGAUAGCUAUAAAGAAUAAUUAUGUUCAAUGCAGCAGCAUUGUUUCCAAGAGCGCACUAUGUCCAUAAGAUUGUGUUUUUGUUUUACCCUCAACGAACCUCUGUUUUCGUUUGAAUAUGUGCAGCCGGAUCAGAAUGUCCGCAUCGUGCUUCAGUUACUGUACUUCAGUACAGAAGCAGCGGCCAUGUUGUUAUGUCAUCUCUCCGCGUUUCCGUAUAUAGUUUUAGCAUUGCAUGACGGGAGGUAUCUGCAAACAUGGCGUUGUGAGCUGUGUAUAUGUGUUUUGUUGCUAGUUUCGGCGCCAAUUUUGUCAGUGGCAGUGGCAGUGACGAACAGAGACUUGUUUGGGAUAAUGCGCGGCCGCUGCAAAGAGCCAUUUUGUGACUGUGAGCGCUUCAGUGUCCUCAUUUCGGCGAACAUUCGCUGUGACUACUGCGACCACAGCCCCGGAUCGCAUGGGAAAAUAGACGAACUUGAUGGCAUUGCCAGCUGAUGAGCUCCAAGUAACAGCACCUCACAUUUACUGCGCUCCUGAGAAGAUAUGUAUUUUUGCUGGCAGCCAAGCCGAAGUCAUCACUGUCUCCACGUCUGAACUACAACGGGCACUUAUUUUUUGCCUUUUGGCAUAUUAUGUUAAAAACCUAGAAUAUCCAUUUGCAUUUUACCAAAUCCUUGCUCUCGUGCAAAAAGUUGUGCUGCCAUGAGACAAGCUAGUGAAAGGACUGCUUUCUACCCGUCUGAAACGUCUCUCUGCGCUCCUAAGCAGUAAAAAUGUACUCUAGGGAGUAGUGCUGUUCGCGCUGCUUUCCAUGUUUUUCACCAACUCUGAAGUGAAAGUAAAAAACAACAUAGUGUGUGAUUUACUUCAAUGCGGUUAGUUAGCUCCAAAGAUGGGAGAGGCUUACACCAUAAGCAGCUGUUUUUUUCACGUCAUACAUUGUUUAAUUCUAGUCACAAGCAGUGCAUUUACUUGCUCUAGUCAUUUGUUCCUCUCCCUUGUGGUGAAGGCUGGUUAAUUUUAUUUCAUUUGUGUAUUCAUAGGCCUCAGAAUUUCUUAUAAACAUAGCUUAAGCAUUUAACUCACCCACGUAGAUGGUUGUUUUGCAAAAUGUAAUGCACUCUAUUUGCCCUUUGCUCAGUGAGCAGAUCGGUAUAUAUCUGUGCCUGUGCAGAAAUCUAGUAUUGCAGUUAUUAAAUGGCAUCAAUUCUGAUGUUUGUCAUUUCACACAGUGGUGCUUCAAUGACUGUAUAUGGGAGGUCUCAUGGAUGGUAUUUUUGUAUCAGACCUUGUUCAACAAAAAACUUGUAAUAAAGAAUUUCGUACCUGAGA